GGAAAGGUGCCGGAGCGGUUAAACGGCCAGGUCUCGAAAACCUUGGAGGUCUGUAAAGGCCUACGCGAGUUCGAAUCUCGCCCUUUCCG
rnacentral:tRNA from 1 species